CCAGCAGCUGCGGUAAUUCCAGCUCCAAUGGUGUAUAUUAAUGCUGUUGCGGUUAAAAAGCUCGUAGUUGGAUUUGUGUUGCGAUUGUCGCCGGGGCAGGGCAAGACCCUGUGUUUUCCGGCGGAGCAACUUCUGAGGGUGUCGCAGGUUGCGGCACGCUCACUUACUUUGAACAAAUUAGAGUGUUCAUAGCAGGCUGUUACGCCUUGCAUAGAUUAGCAUGGAAUAACGUACAAGACGCUGGGUCCGGUCCGUUGUCUCGACGGGGCCAGAGUAAUGAUGGAUAGGGACAGACGGGGGCAUGAGUAUUGCGUCGUCAGAGGUGAAAUUCUUAGAUUGGCGCAAGACUAGCGGAUGCGAAAGCCAUUGCCAAGCAUGUUUUCAUUGAUCAAGAACGAAA
rnacentral:rRNA from 1 species